rnacentral:rRNA from 1 species
AGAGUUUGAUCCUGGCUCAGGACGAACGCUGGCGGCGUGCUUACCAUGCAGUCGAACGAUGAAGCCUUCGGGUGGAUUAGUGGCGAACGGGUGAGUAACACGUGGGAAAUCUGCCCUGAACUCUGGGACAAGCCUUGGAAACGAGGUCUAAUACCGGAUAUGACCGUGGAGCGCAUGCUCUGUGGUGGAAAGCUCCGGCGGUUCAGGAUGAUCCCGCGGCCUAUCAGCUUGUUGGUGGGGUAAUGGCCUACCAAGGCGACGACGGGUAGCCGGCCUGAGAGGGCGACCGGCCACACUGGGACUGAGACACGGCCCAGACUCCUACGGGAGGCAGCAGUGGGGAAUAUUGCACAAUGGGCGAAAGCCUGAUGCAGCGACGCCGCGUGAGGGAUGACGGCCUUCGGGUUGUAAACCUCUUUCAGCAGGGAAGAAGCGCAAGUGACGGUACCUGCAGAAGAAGCACCGGCUAACUACGUGCCAGCAGCCGCGGUAAUACGUAGGGUGCGAGCGUUGUCCGGAAUUAUUGGGCGUAAAGAGCUCGUAGGCGGCCUGUCGCGUCGGAUGUGAAAGCCCGGGGCUUAACCCCGGGUCUGCAUUCGAUACGGGCAGGCUAGAGUGUGGUAGGGGAGAUCGGAAUUCCUGGUGUAGCGGUGAAAUGCGCAGAUAUCAGGAGGAACACCGGUGGCGAAGGCGGAUCUCUGGGCCAUUACUGACGCUGAGGAGCGAAAGCGUGGGGAGCGAACAGGAUUAGAUACCCUGGUAGUCCACGCCGUAAACGUUGGGAACUAGGUGUUGGCGACAUUCCACGUCGUCGGUGCCGCAGCUAACGCAUUAAGUUCCCCGCCUGGGGAGUACGGCCGCAAGGCUAAAACUCAAAGGAAUUGACGG